AUUGAACGCUGGCGGCAGGCCUAACACAUGCAAGUCGAGCGGAUGACGGGAGCUUGCUCCUUGAUUCAGCGGCGGACGGGUGAGUAAUGCCUAGGAAUCUGCCUGGUAGUGGGGGACAACGUUUCGAAAGGAACGCUAAUACCGCAUACGUCCUACGGGAGAAAGCAGGGGACCUUCGGGCCUUGCGCUAUCAGAUGAGCCUAGGUCGGAUUAGCUAGUUGGUGGGGUAAUGGCUCACCAAGGCGACGAUCCGUAACUGGUCUGAGAGGAUGAUCAGUCACACUGGAACUGAGAAACGGUCCAGACUCCUACGGGAGGCAGAAGUGGGGAAUAUUGGACAAUGGGCGAAAGCCUGAUCCAGCCAUGCCGCGUGUGUGAAGAAGGUCUUCGGAUUGUAAAGCACUUUAAGUUGGGAGGAAGGGCAGUAAGCUAAUACCUUGCUGUUUUGACGUUACCGACAGAAUAAGCACCGGCUAACUCUGUGCCAGCAGCCGCAGUAA
rnacentral:rRNA from 1 species